AAUUUGUUAGUUAGUUCAACAUCUCGUGAUAGCCUCGAGUUCACAAUUUAUAUUAGAUAUUCUAACACCAGGAAAGAUGAGGGUUACAGUUAUAUUGCUUAUUUGUGGGCUUAUCAUUGGUGAUGCUUCAGCUUUUCAAUGUUACAAUUGUUCUUCGUUCAGUCAACAAAGUUCUUGUGGCCUGACAGAUCCAUUGCCAAACUAUCUGAAGACGACUUCUUGUAACACUCAAUGCUAUAAAUGGGUAUUAUUUUCUUAUGCCAGUGAAGUAAGAAGAGGUUGUAAGAAAAAUGGUAUUUCACCACCUGGUUCGAGUUAUACAGAGUAUUUAUGUUCCGCCAAUUUGUGUAACAAAGCUCCUUCUAUAACCCAAUCUACAAAGAUGAUGUUUUGUAUGCUGUUUGUUGCUGUCUUUACCAUAUUUAUCAACCGAAAGUGACCUUAACAUUCUUUCGUGAUAUCUAUUUUUGAAAAAAGUCUUAUGUUAAAUGUUUACUGUUUAAUGUAACUAUAGAAUGUAAUGGAAAAUUAUGCAAAUGAACGUUACAGAAAUGAUAAUUGGAAAGAUUUUUAAUUUUUUUUAAAUAUGUUGAACACAGUUAUGUAAAUAUACAAACAUAUAAUUGUAAUAUCAUGUACCCUCUUUUUUUAUUUAAAAAAAUCUGAAAUCAAUAAUAACAUGUUUUAUCUCAUAUAUAUGUUUUCACGUAUCGAAUUUAUGUCAUUUUGAUAUAAGAAAGAAAAAUAAUGGAAUAAAGAUUGAAAUGUG